ensembl:snRNA U6 U6 spliceosomal RNA
GUGCUCACUUUUGGCAGCACAUAUACUAAAAUUGGAACGAUACAGAGAAGAUUAUGGGCCCCUGCACAAGGAUGACACAUAAAUUUGUGAAGCAUUCUAUAUUUUU